rnacentral:rRNA from 1 species
UACAGAGGGGGCGAGCGUUGUCCGGAAUUAUUGGGCGUAAAGAGCUCGUAGGCGGUCUGUCGCGUCGGAUGUGAAAACUCGGGGCUCAACCCCGAGCCUGCAUUCGAUACGGGCAGACUAGAGUUCGGUAGGGGAGACUGGAAUUCCUGGUGUAGCGGUGAAAUGCGCAGAUAUCAGGAGGAACACCGGUGGCGAAGGCGGGUCUCUGGGCCGAUACUGACGCUGAGGAGCGAAAGCGUGGGGAGCGAACAGG